rnacentral:lncRNA from 1 species
AAGGUUUCCUACUCGAAGUAGGAAAGUUAAAUCCAAAUGGCAUCAAGUUUCAGCAACAAAGAAGAUUUCCAAGUCCAAGAAGGAAAGGUUUCCAAGAUGAAGUAGGAGAAGAAUUCCAAGUCAAGGGAGGAUUGAGACAUGUUUUCCUAAUGCUAGAAGGACUCUUAAGUGUUGUAGGACACAAAUGAGAAGUUUCUAGAAGAAUUCCCCUCCUUGCCGUGAGUUUCUACAUUUCCUAUCAGUUUUGGGGCUUUCUAGAAGCCCUAUCCCUAAUCCCUACAUUGGUGCCGCACCCUAGCUUCUAGAUGCCCUAGUUCCUUGCCUUGCAAGGCAUUCUAGAAGGCCUAUCCAUAUCCUACAAACCUGCCGCACCUAGGACCCCUUUUCCCUUGCAAAAUCUGAUUGUUUAGACCUAUUUCCUUGUGGAUUUGGGUUAUCCAAGUCCAUAUCUGAUUACCCUAGGGUUUUAAGUGCCUAUAUAUACUCCUAUUAACCCCUAAAUCAGAUCACCACUCACCACAAUUCACAAUUCACGCCAGAAAUCAUUCCUUGCUCUUUGCCGCACCCUUCCACCACCAUAUGCCAUAAUUUCUGCCCAAAAACAACCCUAGCCGCACCACCCAUCAACCCUAAACACCAUCACACAUCCUCCAUCCAUUUUACACCAUCCAUAACCCCAAAGAACCUGUCCAAAGUCCUUGCCACACCAAGGAGGGGGAGAAGGAAGCUCGGAAGAUUCAUGCAAUUCAAGUUCGUGUCGCUGGAAUUUCUAGGUGUUUCUUUUCCUUUGAUUUCAAUGUUUAAAUUCAAUUCUCUUUGUUUUGUGCGUAUGAGGAACUAAACCCCCCCUUGGCUAGGGGGGAUUCGAAAUACAUGUUUAUGCUUGCGAUAUGAUUUGAUUACUUCUAAUUGCGUUUCAUAAGUUGUGAAUUCAAUUUACUUAUCUAUGUGAAUUACAUUGAUUUAUGUGUGUUGGUUGAGAGUGCACGCUUAAUUAUCAUGCAUAAAUUGAAUGCUAGGAUAUAAGGAAAUUUUCACCUAAUCGUUAUGGACUUAUAUUCACAAGUAGUAAAGGUUGAUGAUCUCAAUCGCGUUAAGUAAAUUCUUGGCAUAAGUUUCAUGCAAUCAUAGUAACAAGUGCUUCGUCAAUGCUUAUGGUUUUCAUAGAACUUAAUGAUUCUUGCUUGUAUCUCUAUUAUGCAAUCAUGUAGGGGACUUGUGGGGAAUGUUUGGGUUGUCGUAUGCAAUCAUCCAAUUCAAUAACGUUAGGAAAAUCUGAGGGUUAAUUUAAGCGGACCUAAUUAACUUGGGGCAUUGAGAAUUCAUGGUUUAUUGAAAAGCAAUUGGAAAUCGUUUUGUAUGCAAGUAUAACAUGUGUGGAGAUGAACCCCUUAGCUAGCCUUCCAUUCACCCAUUUAAAUCAAAUUCGUUUUUACAAUCUGUUCUAAUUUACAAGUUUGUUUUGUUUUUAAAUUCGUCCAAAACCAAUCCCCCUUUGUUUUAAAGUGUCAAAAUUAGUUAGUAAGUGUUUAGUUUGUGUUUUUAAGUGUCUUAGGUCAAGUUAAAACCAAUUUUCGUCCAAGUUUGUGUCUAGUGUUCAAAACUGCCCAGAUUGUGUUUUUAAGGCAGUUUUGAGUCUUUUGGUUUGUUUUGGUGUUUUAAAGUUUAGUUUUGCAUUCUUUGAGUCUAGUUUAGUAUUUUAAACUUGUUUUUACGUAUUUGAGUCAAUUCCAAGUGAUUUUGCAAUCCCUCCUAAUCUCCGAUCUAGAACGAUCCCUACUUACAUACAUUGCUACAACUGAUAAAAAGAGGGUUUAAUUUGAGUGCUAGUUAAUUCUCACAUCAAAUUUUGGCGCCGUUGCCGGGGAUUAGCAACUUUGCUAAUCCCUUGGAUUGUUAUUUUCGUUUUUCUUAUUAGAUCAGAUUCUUAUGUUAUUUUGUUUCUUGUUCUAGGUACUUGUUUAUGACUCGGAGUUCUAAUCCGGUUCACG